GGAAGCAGACACAGCGGCCGGAAGUUGACGUGGCUUUACCAUCUAUCCAAAGGAGAGCUGGUCACCAACUGCUUCAAGAACAGAUACACUCUGCAGGCCUCCACCUUCCAGAUGGCCAUCCUGCUCCAGUUCAACACAGAGAACAGCUACACCGUCCAACAACUGGCUGACAGCACACAGAUCAAAACAGAUAUUUUGAUUCAGGUCUUACAAAUCCUCUUGAAAUCAAAGUUGCUGGUAAGUGUUGACAACUGGUUGCUUAUAGCGGU